rnacentral:lncRNA from 1 species
AGGAAUAUAAGUGGUUCAUCUACCAUAAGGAUAUCUAAUAGUGGUGGAGUAGAAGCUGAUAUAUAUAUAUAUAUAUAUAUAUAUAUAUUUUUUUUUUCUCUCUGCUAGUUCCUUGAGGGUAAAAGCCUUCUGAGAGAAUAGCACCAAGCUGAGAGAUAGAUGCCCCCCCAGGAGCUGCUUAUCGAACUCCGCUGGUCUGAUGAAUGCAUUUUCUCUCCUGCCUCGCCCAGUGAAAACUGAUAGCCGUGUGAUGUAACUGCCUUCUUGUGGAACUGCUCCACUGUUUUCUCUCCGCAGGGAAAACACUGGAGAAUGGGUUGUGCAAAAUAAGGAAAGAAACCAUGAAGACAUAGGAUCCAGGAAACAAGACCUGAACCAGGAAUGAGACAAAGGGAUGUCCAGGGAGAGAAAAAGAGAGCACAAGCAAGGGGAACGGCACACAGAAAGAGAGUUAGAAGCAGACUCCCCCUUGAGCAGAGAGAAGAAGGUGGGGCUCAACCCCAGGACCCUGGGAUCAUGACCCAAGCAGAAGGCAGAGGCUUAACUGACUGAGCCGGCCCAG